CACACACACUCACACAUAACCUUUAUCAAUAGCCCAUUCCCCGUUCCUUAUUUUCAUAUCAGAAUGUUGGCAACCCUAAUUGUGACUUUAUUGCUGGCAAGAGCCCACAGUUCAUGGGCCAGCCUAGGUCCCUGUAUGGUGUGUGUGUGUGUGUUUACCCCCCACCAAGGCUUUCAACCGGUUCAUGGAACGAAAACGAAAACCAGAAACUUUUGAUGUUUUGCUAGGAACAGAAACGAAACCAGAAACUUUAAAUGUUUUUAUGUUCCUGAACAGAAUCGUUUAUCUAAAAUAAUGGUAACCAGUUAAUACUGUUAUUUGUUCGUUCUUUGACAACAUUUCUGUGCAAUAUGACUAGGUGAGGUUCAUUUCCGGUCGUUCACUCAACAGGAGAAAUGUAAUAGAGAAGCUUCCCGCCAGCAAGUAGCCUAAUCAAGAGCGUAUGGCCAAGCUGUAGCCUGUCUCCCAAGCUUAAUCAUAAGAGGAAAUCAUGGAGGCAAUUUACAGAGGCACAUUCAACAAAGGCAUCCGGACAUGUACAACAAAUCAUCCAGUCAUGGCCAAAAGAGAACCACUACCCCAGAGAGAAAAAUCAGAUUGGCAGAUAGCGGACCGCUGGUGGUAUGCAUUGGACCACCAUCUCUUUAAAUUUAACAUUUAAAGAA